rnacentral:lncRNA from 1 species
GGUUAGGGGAGGGUUGGGAUCCCGCUAACAUGUUUAACCCCGUCACAUUAUGUAUGUAUGUGACUGUCCCAAGGAGCCUGUUAUUCAGUGGUUGUCGUUUGUUUAUGUGUUACAUAUUUGUUUUUCGUUCAUUUUUUGUACAUAAAUUAGGUCGUUAGUUUUCUCGUUUGAAUUGUUUUACGUUUUCAUUUCGGGGCCAAUCAUACCACAUCUUCUUUUUUAUACUUAAAUUGCACAAAGUAUUUAUUGUUUUAAGUCCUGAUCAUAAUUUCAAUUGGUGUUAACUUAGCUUUCAUAGUUAUUGAGAUAAGAGCUAUAAACUGUAUAGACAAUUCCAAAACAGAUUUCAAGAUUUUCUGAAACUUUUAGAGAAGAUAGCUCCUUAAGUUAAAAAAAAAGCCAAAAUAUGCCACAUCAGUUACAACCUAUUAUUUCAGCAGGGACGAUAACUAAAAUUAAAAAGGCAGUUUAAGAGAUGAUAGUCAAAACACUGUCAAAAUUGAUUAAAUAAAAUUGAGAAUGACGGACCACCGUAAAGCUCACAAGGUCCUUAAAAAUGGGUAAAUUGUAUCAUAUUGUAUAUCGCAAACAAUGUCAAAACAAUUUUUAUUUUCAAAAUGAUGUUCAAGUAAAUCGAAAUGUUCUAUCAAUUCUGAUUAAACACAAUGAUCUAUUACUGUUGAAAUUAGAUAUUUAAUCGAAAAACACAAGUUUACAAUGCAUCCUGCUGAUUUGUUUGCGUCCAUUCCUUUUAUGAUAGAUGAUCGUCAUUAUCAAGUCCAUAUAUCGAAGUAAAAAAUAUUUAGAAGAAUGAAGAUUGGAGAACAAACUAAUGAAAUGUAGCAAAAAGUUCAGAACCAAAUGGAACACAUUUAGAAACAUUAAAAUACUAAGAAUAGAACAAAAAAUUAAAUUAGACAAAAUUUGAGAAACUGAUUUACUUAUAUUCAUUCUACGCCACGUCAUAUUAUGUAACAAAGAAACUCAAAAAGCUUAUAAACAAAGCUUGUCUGCAAAAAAAGGCAUAAAGACCAAGCAUAUCAGCAAAAAUGAACAAGAAUACAGAAAUGAUCAGAGAACAAUAAUACAAUGACGGGAUGUAUAAAUACAGAUCCACGACAAAUGGAUACAACAAAAUCAGGCUAAACAGUUACAGUAAAAAACAUAAAGACAAAUAGAAAAGACUAUUAUAACACGUUAUUUAGAUGAUAAAUGCAUGAAGACCAAGUCGCAAGGAGUAUUACUGUAUGAAGACCUAGUCGAAGGGGUGUAUUUACGUUAUUGAAAAUCUACAAUAGCACACUCACCAAAAUGCCUUAUGUUCUUUAUCAUACCGAGUGCUUAUGGGUCACAUCAAUAAUGCAAACAAUAUUGAAAAAAA